ACGCUCGACACCUACGGGAGCAGCAGUGGGGAAUAUUGCACAAUGGGGGAAACCCUGAUGCAGCGACGCCGCGUGAGNGAAGAAGUAUUUCGGUAUGUAAAGCUCUAUCAGCAGGGAAGAANNGGACCGUCUGAGUAAGAGCCCGGCUAAACUACGUGCCCGCAGCCGCGGUAAUACUGAGCGGGCGUGGCGAAGGCG
rnacentral:rRNA from 1 species